rnacentral:rRNA from 1 species
GAUGAACGCUGGCGGCGUGCCUAACACAUGCAAGUCGAACGGAAAGGCCCUGCUUUUGUGGGGUGCUCGAGUGCCGAACGGGGGAGUAACACGUGUGUAACCUGCCCUUGACUUUGGGAUAACAUCAGGAAACUGGGGCUAAUACCGGAUAGGAGCUCCUGCAGCAUGGUGGGGGUUGGAAAGUUUCGGCGGUUGGGGAUGGACUCGCGGGUUACCAGCUUGUUGGUGGGGUAGUGGCUUACCAAGGCUUUGACGGGUAGGCGGCCUGAGAGGGUGGCCGGCGACAAUGGGACUGAGGUACGGCGCAGUCUCCUACGGGAGGCAGCGGUGGGAAAUAUUGCACAAUGGGCGGAAGCCUGAUGCGGCGGCGCCGGGUGCGGGAUGACGGCCUUCGGGGUGUGAACCGCUUUCGCCUGUGACGAAGCGUGAGUGACGGUAAUGGAUAAAGAAGCACCGGCUAACUACGUG